CCUACGGGAGGCAGCAGUGGGGAAUAUUGCACAAUGGGGGAAACCCUGAUGCAGCGACGCCGCGUGAGUGAAGAAGUAUUUCGGAAUGUAAAGCUCUAUCAGCAGGGAAGAAAAUGACGGUACCUGAUUAAGAAGCCCCGGCUAACUACGUGCCAGCAGCCGCAGUAAUACGUAGGGGGCAAGCGUUAUCCGGAUUUACUGGGUGUAAAGGGAGCGUAGACGGCAGGACAAGUCUGGAGUGAAAUGCUGGGGCUUAACCCCGGAACCGCUUUGGAAACUGUGCAGCUAGAGUGCAGGAGAGGUAAGUGGAAUUCCUAGUGUAGCGGUGAAAUGCGUAGAUAUUAGGAGGAACACCAGUGGCGAAGGCGGCUUACUGGACUGUAACUGACGUUGAGGCUCGAAAGCGUGGGGAGCAAACAGGAUUAGAUACCCUAGUAGUC
rnacentral:rRNA from 1 species